GGACCGAACCCAGGCCCUUGCGCUUGCUAGGCAAGCGCUCUACCACUGAGCUAAAUCCCCAACCCCUCAGCAAAUGUUAAUAUCCAGUUUUUCCUGGCAUCUCUUGAGCAGCUCCAACAAUUUGGUCAAACCAACCCCAGUUCGGACCCACAUAUAGUCAGUUGUCAUAAGCACACCUGGGGCUUGGGUGGACAUCCAAAUCUGGUGCGAGCCAGGCAUGGCUGCACCUCCCUCUAAUCCUAGCCUUUGGAAGGUAGAGGUAGGAAGAAUCAGGAGUUCAGGGCUAUCCAGGGUUACAUGCAAACAAUGGAAAGAAAGAACAAAGCAAACAAGAAAAAAAACGAACAAACAACUCCCUAAGGCCAGUUGGUGCGGUGCAUUUUAAAAUCCUAGCAUUAGAGGGGCAGAGACAGUUCAGAAGUUCUAGGCCAGCCCGGGUAACAAGAAGAUUGUCUCUCCUCCCCACUUCUUCCACACUCACCGAAGACAAAAACAAAGAACAAACAAAAAUAGUGGGGGAUACGUUCUGGGGAGCAAGUGAAGUUGGGCUCUUGACUCUGCUAAGAGAGUGGAAAAAAUAUAUGCUCAGUGCCUUAAUGGAAUGGACCGAUUAGUAGGAGAGCGGUUCCUCAGCUCAACGGAGAAGGACAUGGAUGGUUAUAGUUAGAACCCAUGGGAAAUGCUUUAAAGGGGGAAGGAUAGAUUUAGAGGAAGGAUUGGAGCAGAAGGCCUCCGGUUUCCCUGGCGGCACAAAAGGAGAGUCCCAGUAAGAUGACUAAAAAGACAAAUGGAAUGAACUCAGGCAGUCGGGAGCUUCUGAAGCUCUGCCUGCCCCUGGACAGGAAGAGCUGUUGCCUUACACAGAACAGUCAGGUUCGAGGAGCAGAGAGGACAAGGUAAAGGCUGGGUAAGUGUUGGUAUAAGUGCGCCCUGAAGAGGCUGCCUCCUCCUCCCGGUGAGGUCACAGAGGAAGGGCCUUUUCUGGAGGACUGACGUUGGGUGCCCUUAGGGAACUAAUUUCUCAUCCAUUUUGGGAAGUCCGUGAUCUGUUCAGGGUCCCCAGAGCUUUUCUCCCCAUGACAGUAAAGAGGCCCAACUGAGGACAGACACCAAUAUGUGCAGAUCACUCAGGUCCCUGAGGUCGGAGCAGCGGUGGCCGAGAGGAAGAGACGAAAAAGAUGGAGGGCAGAGUCUUCCUCAGCAAUAGACUUGAGGCUUUCCGGUUGUGGAAGACUUGUGGAAGACCGGAAGAGAAUAUUACAGCAUCUUUCAACCCCCACCAAAGAAGCUUCUUCUGAUUGACAUGAAGACCCUCAACUGGUCACAGCAUGGAGGAUAAGAGACUGUGGAGAGCUCCGCCUUAAAAGAGACAUACAUAGUACACCCUUCCCUCAGUGUUCAGGGAUCCUCAAGGAAGAAGUAGCAGAAAGAUUAGAGCAUAGAUGGGAGAUACCAUCAAAGAAAAAGUGUUUUCUGAAUACAAAAGCACAGUUGUACAUAGAAA